rnacentral:rRNA from 1 species
UUGCCAGCAGCCGCGGUAAUACGGAGGGUCCGAGCGUUAAUCGGAAUUACUGGGCGUAAAGCGUGCGCAGGCGGUUUGUUAAGCCAGAUGUGAAAUCCCCGGGCUCAACCUGGGAAUUGCAUUUGGAACUGGCGAACUAGAGUCUUGUAGAGGGGGGUAGAAUUCCAGGUGUAGCGGUGAAAUGCGUAGAUAUCUGGAGGAAUACCGGUGGCGAAGGCGGCCCCCUGGACAAAGACUGACGCUCAUANGGAAAGGUGGGGGAGCCAACAGGAUUAGAAACCUUGGUAGUCC